ACCCUGAAGCUAAGGAAGCUGCUCCAAUAUUAAGAGAUCAGGGAGGUAAGAAAAAUCAGCAAAGGGACUGAAAAAGGGCAAAGGCAGGAAGACAAGACAACCAGGGAAAUGGGAGAAAGGUCAUCAGCUGAGAAUAAGGAUGGAGACAGAGUUGGAGAGUGUGGAAGUGUUCCCUGCCUCAAAAACCUAAAAGACUAAUG